AUGUCGCAUCGGAUCCUCAACACCUCCAAGCCCACGCUGCCGCCGGCGCCGCAGCCUCAGCUCCACCAUCCUCCCCCGCCACCGCCCACGAAGCUCGGCCGCCGUGCCGCCGCGGUCGCGGUCGCCAUCGCGGCCUCGCCGGCACUCCUCGGCGCCGUCUCCCCGUCCGCCCGGGCGCAGGAAGCGGCAGCAGCAGCGUCGGCCUGCAUCGACGAACUGCCGAUCACGGCCAAGGCGUUCCUGGACGUGUCCAUCGGCGGCGAGCCGGCCGGCCGCAUCACGGUGGGCCUGUUCGGCGACGCGGCGCCGGCCGGCGCGGCCCGGUUCCUGUCGCUCGCCACGGGCGUCGGGUACCGGCGCAAGGAGUUCGUGAAGGUGGUGCCCGGGUACGUGCAGCACGCCGGCGUGGUCUCGUACCCGGUCAUCCCGGCGGUGACCGACCGGCUGGCCGCCGAGAUGGAGGCCGCGCGCGCGCGGUGCGGCGGCGGCGCGAUGAACGCGGCGGGGGCGGUGUCGAUCGUGGUGCGGGACCCGAGCCUGCCGCCGCCGAAGCCGAAGCUGGUGGCGCGGGGCGGGCGGCUGAAGAUCGAGGAGGAGCAGGUGGGCGUGGUGCCCAACGGCACCGAGUUCGUGAUCGCCACCAGGGACUCCCCCGAGCUGGACGCGUCGGCGCUGGUGGUGGGCCGCGUCGUCGCCGGCAUGGACGUCGUCGGCAGGAUCGCCGCCGUGGCCACCGUCAAGGAGAACACCGGGUCGGCCUACUUCAAGUAA
rnacentral:rRNA from 1 species